GGAAGUGUAACUAGCAGUGCACGCCUGCACGGUGAUCAGUGGCGCGGAAUGAUGAGACGGGGCGGCCGCGGUGUUGCAGCGCUCCGUGGCUGGUGUAUGGGAGCGGGAUCCCCGGACAGGACGCGGUCAGCACGCAGCUGCUCUCAGGCUGGCAGAGAAUGGCAGACUUACAGGAAAAAGUAGACGUCGCAGUAGAGAAGAAAAUUAUUAGCUUGCACGACGACGGUGUACGCAAAAUAAGUGAAAAGAUGCGACACUUGAAUUCAUUUGUGUCGCAUGAAUUAUUUCCAGGUGCUGGGCCUCCACCAGGUUUACGGAGACACUUUUUUUUUUCCCCAACAGAAAAGAUAUCAUUAAUAUUAUGUGCAAAGCUAAAUAUGCCGGACGGAAUUCAGCAAUAGAUCAGGAGAAUCUGUUAAAUAUUUUGAAUUAAUGGCAGCAGGAAGAUUAAAAAAUACACGUGUACUGCAGGCCGAAUACUGCUACAGAUCAAUGACGGAGAACAAAUUUCUCAAAGAGAUGCUACUAAAGUACGGCAAUCAAAUAACUCUAUUGGAUGCAACAUAUUGUACUACGCGAUAUGCCUUGCCACUUUUUUUCCUCUGUGUGAGAAAUAAUAUUGGUUAUGCAGUAGUUGGUGCCUUUGUAAUCCAAAAGAAAAGAUCUUCAUGCAUCGUGGAGGCGUUACAAUUUUUCAAAACAUGGAACCCGGCUUGGAAACCAAAUUGAUUCUUGGUGGAUUUCUGUCAGGAAGAGAUAAAUGCAAUAAGUGAUUUGUUUGAAGAUACAAAAAUCUUACUGUGUGAUUUCCAUCGUGAGAAAGCUUGGGUGGAGUGGUUGAACAAAAAAGAUCAUGGUGCACGCAGUUCUUGUAAGAUGGUCUUGAAAAUGCUUUGCAAUAUAGCACGUACCAUGAACAUAAAGGAACAUAUCAGUGCUAUUAGGACUUUAGAACUUUGGAACAAAAACAACGCUUUAAAGCAAUGAUUCUCCAAAAAAUGGAUGCCAGAAAUACAGGUAUGUGGAGUUGAAUUUGAAAUGUUCUCAAUAUUAUCGAAAAUACAUGGAAGAUGUCCCACACUUUUUACGGAACCGUCCAAGGGAUUUUAUUAAAAAAGUCAUGAAAAAAAUGACAAGCAACCUUGAGGAAUUAGACAUCAUCUGUACUAAUUCUGGGAGUGGUGCCUUUAAAGUUAGUAGUGAAACUACAAAAGGACUGUCCUAUGAUGUAGAUGUGCCGCCAAUGGAAAAAUUACUUUCUUCCUUGUAAACAUAUGUGCUGUAUUUUUACGUAUGUAGAUGGCUGGGGGUGGGAUAAAUUGAAUAGUUCCUACAGGAAUAACCCUCUUUUCAUUCUGGACACUGAUAUUCUUGAGAUAAAAACUGAGCAUGACGAAAAUUCCCAUGAAAAAAUGACAAAACUUUGAAGAGUUCCCACCAUGUAGAAGAACCAGGCGAACAACAUUGAUUCGAUCUUACACACAAACUGAAACAACUGACAGAUUUUGUGUAUCUAAUUCAUGACAACUCACAUAUUGAGACAUUGAUCAGCUCACUGCAGAAUUUAGUAGAUGCUUCAAAAUUAAAGGUUCCAAAAGAAAGUGGCCUACCAUUAAUUGAAACACCCCCCCCCCCCCCCCCAAAAAAAAGACAACUGACUGAGAAAUAUGAGCCACUUCCUAAACGAGUUUAUGGAAAACAAAAACAACCUGCAUCACAUAGAUUUGGGGAAAAUGCAGAGAUGGUAAGACAAGAUGUUUGGCAAUCUGAUUGUGAAGCAGAAAAUGAUGAAAUGAAAGAUACAUGUGAAGAGAAUAUUCAGACUAAAAACGACACGUGGGUUACAAUGAAUGGACUCAGGCUAACAUAUAAUGAUGGAGAAAGAAUAGCCAAGGGUGAGUGGUUAGAUGAUAGUAUCAUCAAUGCUAGUCAGCAUUUUAUUUCUCAAAAGUUUCCUUCUGUGGGUGGUCUCUGUGAUACCCUGCUAGUGGCACACAAUGCUACUGCUAAAGUUGAUGGUGUCAUACAAAUCCACCAUUUGGGUGAUCACUGGGUUGUGUCACAUUGUUCUAAAGCAGUAGGAAAUAUUUAUGACUCCAUGAAGCCAAUUCAAAUUGCAAACACACUAUAAAUGCAAAUUACUAAAAUAUACGUCCUCAUUGUUUUCUGGUGAAAACGCAACACAGGAUGUGAAUUUCAAGUGUUGUCAGAAACAUCUUGGCUAUAACGACCGUGGUUUAUUCUCCGUUGCUAAUGCAGUGUCUCUGGUAAAUGGCAUUAGUUUAAAUACAAUUCAAUUUUAGCAAUGUGAGAUGAGAAAUCAUUUAAUAAAGUGCAUUGAACGACAAGAAAUUACAAUGUUUCCGCAUGUAAAUAAGUCGCUUAAAAUGCUUACAGAAAAGAUAAAAAAUGACAACUUUCUGUGUCUGCAAAAUUCACACGGAAAAAAAAAAAUGAAUGAUUGACAGCACACGCUGUAGAAUGUGGUUCCAUUUGGACAGUCACAUGAUAAAUGUAUUACAACGAGAAAAAUAUAUUUCUGUCCAGAGUCUACAAAGAUUAAGAAAUAAUGUUGUCGUUACAAGAAAAAAACCACAAGUUUAAAUACAAAUAAAGAACAGAUAGUCUGGGCACCGUAUCUGCAAGUGUUCCCACUAAUAUGAACAUUUAUGACGAGCAGUCACCCCUUAAUAAAAACUUCAAUAAUCCUACAGGGGUUACAUAUGUUUUGUGUACACCUACUACUGCUAACUGUACUUUCACUAUACAACCAGUGUGAUAUCACAUAACUGAUAUCACAGUAGCAUUUUU